UACGUAGGGGGCAAGCGUUGUCCGGAUUUAUUGGGCGUAAAGGGCGCGUAGGCGGCCUGCUAAGUCGGAUGUGAAAUCCCUCGGCUCAACCGAGGAACUGCAUCCGAUACUGGCGGGCUUGAAUCCGGGAGAGGGAUGUGGAAUUCCAGGUGUAGCGGUGAAAUGCGUAGAUAUCUGGAGGAACACCGGUGGCGAAGGCGGCAUCCUGGACCGGUAUUGACGCUGAGGCGCGAAAGCUAGGGGAGCAAACGGG
rnacentral:rRNA from 1 species